UCCACCCUCCUCUCUCUUGGUGCCUCCGAUUGGCUGAACCCAACUGAAGCCAGAAGGCAAGGGUGCCCAGUGAAGUCAUCCUCAAAGUCAGCCUCCUGGGGGGAGAAGGACAGAAAGAAGUUCUGGAGGAGUAAAUAGACGUGCCCAGCACAAUGCGUUAACCAGUCUGGCUGUCUGAGUGCAGCUUCUGCUCUGGAGUUCAGGGAUCAUCUCUUCUUCUACAGAAAACAUCUGCGAGAGUAAAUGACGGAGAUGAAAGAUCUUGGCAAAGGGCUAUUUUUCUUUGCUUGGCUUAAAGGGGGCCAGAUGAAGCCUUCAGCCUCACCCUUGUCCGCCCCAGCCUGACUCCCUCCCCCACCUCCCAGGGAGGAGAGAAAUGGGAUCUGAAUGAAGACAGACCAGAAGGUGGCCCAGCCGGCCCCAAGUCCCCAGGCAGGGGAGGUUGUUUUUCCAGUGGAACAGGCUGGCCUGGAGGAAAAGGCCGUGGAAAGAAGACCAGCAAGCUUGGGCUUCUGCAGCUGCUGCCGCCCGCCGUGUUUUUCGUGCCGUCUCUCUGCUCUCUCUGCCCUCACACGCUCCGGGCAGCACGACCUCGUCCGCAGCAGACUGUUCUGGGCUCUGGAGCUCAUCACGGAGGAGACACUACCCCGCCCCUCGCUUCCCUCCUUCAGGCUCCUCUCUCCUGAGGGCUGGGGACCGUUUCUCAGGGAGUCCCAGCCGAGGAGCUGUGUGGUUUUGGAUAAGUUAGGAACUUCUCCAAUCCUCAGUUUCGCUGUCUGUGAAAUGGGGAUAAUGAUACCUACUUCACACAGGAUGAGAUGAAACAACAAAGCACGCUCCACACGAAA